UACAGAGGUCCCAAGCGUUGUUCGGAUUCAUUGGGCGUAAAGAGCGUGUAGGCGGCCAGGUAGGUCGGUUGUGAAAACUGGAGGCUCAACCUUCAGAGGUCGACCGAAACCAUCUGGCUAGAGUCCGGGAGAGGAGAGUGGAAUUCCUGGUGUAGCGGUGAAAUGCGCAGAUAUCAGGAAGAACACCCGUGGCUAAGGCGGCUCUCUAGUACGGUACUGACGCUGAGACGCGAAAGCGUGGGGAGCAAACAGG
rnacentral:rRNA from 1 species